UUUAAAGGGUCCGUAGGCGGGCAGUUAAGUCAGUGGUGAAAGUCUUCCGCUCAACGGGAGAACUGCCAUUGAUACUGAUUGUCUUGAGUUAUUAUGAAGUGGUUAGAAUGAGUAGUGUAGCGGUGAAAUGCAUAGAUAUUACUCAGAAUACCGAUUGCGAAGGCAGAUCACUAAUAAUAUACUGACGCUGAUGGACGAAAGCGUAGGUAGCGAACAGGAUUAGAUACCCUGGUAGUCUACGCCGUAAACGAUGGUUACUAGCUGUUCGGCCCGAUUAAGGGCUGAGUGGUUAAGCGAAAGUGAUAAGUAACCCACCUGGGGAGUACGUUCGCAAGAAUGAAACUCAAAGGAAUUGACGGGGGCCCGCACAAGCGGUGGAGCAUGUGGUUUAAUUCGAUGAUACGCGAGGAACCUUACCAGGGCUUAAAUGUAGUCUGACAGGGCUGGAAACAGCUUUUUCUUCGGACAGAUUACAAGGUGCUGCAUGGUUGUCGUCAGCUCGUGCCGUGAGGUGUCAGGUUAAGUCCUAUAACGAGCGCAACCCCUGUGGUUAGUUGCCAGCGAGUAAUGUCGGGAACUCUAGCCAGACUGCCGGUGCAAACCGUGAGGAAGGUGGGGAUGACGUCAAAUCAUCACGGCCCUUACGUCCUGGGCCACACACGUGCUACAAUGGUAGGGACAGAGAGCAGCCACUUCGCGAGAAGGAGCGAAUCUACAAACCCUAUCACAGUUCGGAUCGCAGUCUGCAACUCUACUGCGUGAAGCUGGAAUCGCUAGUAAUCGCAU
rnacentral:rRNA from 1 species